rnacentral:rRNA from 1 species
UACGGGGGGGGCAAGCGUUGUUCGGAAUUACUGGGCGUAAAGGGCUCGUAGGCGGCCAACUAAGUCGAACGUGAAAUCCCUGGGCUCAACCCAGGAACUGCGUCCGAUACUGGAAGGCUUGAAUCCGGGAGAGGGAUGCGGAAUUCCAGGUGUAGCGGUGAAAUGCGUAGAUAUCUGGAGGAACACCGGUGGCGAAGGCGGCAUCCUGGACCGGCAUUGACGCUGAGGCGCGAAAGCCAGGGGAGCAAACGGG